GAUGAACGCUAGCGGCAGGCCUAACACAUGCAAGUCGAGGGGUAACUAGAGUGAUAGCAAUAUUACUUUGGCUAGACCGGCGCACGGGUGCGUAACACGUAUGCAACCUACCUUAUACUGGGGAAUAACUUCGAGAAAUCGGCGCUAAUACCCCAUAACAUUGCGAAGAGGCAUCUCUUUGCAAUUAAAGCUCCGGCGGUAUAAGAUGGGCGUGCGUCCAAUUAGCUAGUUGGUGAGGUAACGGCUCACCAAGGCUACGAUUGGUAGGGGUUCUGGGAGGAUGAUCCCCCACACUGGUACUGAGACACGGACCAGACUCCUACGGGAGGCAGCAGUGAGGAAUAUUGCGCAAUGGACGAAAGUCUGACGCAGCCAUGCCGCGUGAAGGAUGACGGCCCUAUGGGUUGUAAACUGCUUUUGUACGGGAAUAAACCCUUCUACGUGUAGGAGGCUGAAGGUACCGUAAGAAUAAGCACCGGCUAACUCCGUGCCAGCCGCCGCGGUAAAAC
rnacentral:rRNA from 1 species